CAGGACAAGGUGAAUCCUGCUUGUUUCCAGUCAUCUCCCACCGCAGUCAGACUCCAUUCCCCAUUUUUAAUUACAACUGGAGCUCAAGGAGGAAACCUUCAGCGCUGGGCAAAUGGGAGCUUGCAGAGGACUGCAGGAAGGAGGAGAGCCAGCUUUGCAUAAGAACACCUCAUCCAAGGAUAUGAGUCAAAGAAACAUGAAUUGCUCUGAACAGCCUGAAGGUUUCAACAGCAAUCAGUUAUUUAUAAAGACAACAGAGCCUCCUGAGAAGGAAGUGUCUCACAUGUUCCCAUGUUUGUUGGAAAUUGACCACCGUAAUGCAAAUAAUGUAAAGAAAGAUUUGGUCCAUGUUACUGCAAGAAGAGAUUGAAAGUGGAAAGGAAGACAUUAGACUGAGGAGAACAUCAACAAGCAUCAGAUGGAGCUAUCAUCCUGGUGGGCUGUUAGCCAACUUGCUGUGAGCCCUGAAAUCUGCUUUGUGAAAUGCCACUUCCAGCAAAGUCUGAACCUGCCUGUGAUCGCAGUGGGGCUGGAAAUGAAGAACCCUUUAGCCAUCAGUGAGAUGAACUCUUAGGAGACCCCUUUAUCAGGAUUCAGCCUUGAUUUAGGGUAAAGUGUACUGCUUUUUUCCCCAGACUAUGGUAAGAUGAUGUGAUAGGUAACUGCAGUAUAAAGGGACUGGGCACAGUGUCCAAAGAGGCCCUGUCUUGUCCACAGUUCUUACUACAUUCUGCAUAUUUGAGUAGGAAAACAAAAUAUUUCCAAGCACAAAAGCUCUAGUUUUAAGUUUUUAAUGAAACUGAAGUUCAGCUCCUGUAUUUGAAUCUAUCCCAAACAGAGGGAGCUUAACCACUACACUCUGAAACC